rnacentral:lncRNA from 12 species
GCUUUCUACUGCAAGAACUUUUACCACCAAAGUAAUUUCAUUUUCACAGCAACAAUGUAUGGCUACAUCUCCUUCCACUACUCCAGACACGAGUCUACUGCCCCUGCUGGUACCCUGCAGCGCAGCCUCUGCAACCCUAUCUGAGCAACAGCCUAUGAAGCCACCAUUUCUGGGGCCUGGGAAAGCUGAAAGAAUGAUGCCCCAACAGAGAACACAAGUGUGAAUUACUCAGAUGUUCACUUUCAAUUCAUUUAGCAUCUAGCCGAAGAAACAUAUAUGUAAACAGGUAAAUAUAAUACAAAACAGAAUAAAGUGAAUGCUGUAAGAAAAAUAUAAACUAGU